rnacentral:rRNA from 1 species
AACGAACGCUGGCGGCAGGCUUAACACAUGCAAGUCGAACGGGCGUAGCAAUACGUCAGUGGCGGACGGGUGAGUAACACGUGGGAAUAUGCCUUUCGGUUCGGAACAACUCGGGGAAACCCGUGCUAAUUCCGGAUACGCCCUUACGGGGAAAGAUUUAUCGCCGAAAGAUUAGCCCGCGUUGGAUUAGCUAGUUGGUGAGGUAAAGGCUCACCAAGGCGACGAUCCAUAGCUGGUUUGAGAGAACGACCAGCCACACUGGGACUGAGACACGGCCCAGACUCCUACGGGAGGCAGCAGUGGGGAAUCUUGGACAAUGGGCGCAAGCCUGAUCCAGCCAUGCCGCGUGAGUGAUGAAGGCCUUCGGUUGUAAACUACUUU